AGCCCGACGCAGGGCUUGAACUCACACCAUGAGAUUAUGACCUGAGCCGAAGUCAGAGAGUCACCCAACUGAGCCACCCAGGUGCCCUGAGGCUAUGUUUUUAAAAUGUAAUGCUUGUUGGGUUUUUGAAGUAUAGUGCCUGCCCCUGAAUUAAAUGAUUCCAAAUUGCUUUCUAGUUGUUGAUUUUACUACAAUAUUUUCUCCUCUUCACUUCCAUUUUGUAUUUCAGUAUAUAAAGUUCUGUUUUUGUUGCCAAAUGAACUAGAGGAAUCUAUAGUUACUAAGAUAAGUAACGAUCAACCUAAAAAGUAAAUGCAAAGAUAUGUUUUUGCCAGAGGGUAAGUGGGUAAACUUAUUGCAUAUGUAGCAGUAGUUCUCAAUUGUGAGUAUACCUCACAAUCAUCUAGAGGGCUUUUGAAAAUACAGGUUGCUUGGCCUACCCUGGAUUUUCUGAUUCAGGAAGUCCAGAGUGGGACCGGAGAAUCUGUAUUUCUAACAAUUUCCCAGCUCAUACUGCUGCUCUGUGAACCACCUAUGGAGAACUGCUGCACAGCAAAGUGAGAUGGGGAUGGUUUGAAAUAUCAGUAAGACUUUGAGGUUUUAAGAAACGUUGGAAAUGUCUAGAAGUCUACAAAUAGGAAAAGGAGAAUGUUACUUUUCACAUACCAGACAUUGUAUCUAUGGAGCUUGUAACACAGAGUGAGAGCUGCUGAAAAAAAAUCCAGGAAUUUGUAUAAAGUGGUGAAUUACAGUUACAUGUCAGUUUGCUAAGAGAUUUUAGGAAUACAUAUUAAAUGCUUCCAUCAUUAUAAACUGAUACCACAUCAGGCAGCUUUGAUCUCCAAAAAACAUCUCAUGUUGCCUCUGUAAUGGGCUAUCCUGGAUGGACCAUUGGUUUGACCCCGUGUGGCAUGCCUAAUGUCUCUAUAUUCUAAUCCAUUGGUUGCUACUAAAAUGCUUUGCCAACAGAUUUUGUUCUCAGAUAGGGCACAGCACUGAAAAGAAAAUCACUUUGCAAAUCCAGUGAUUUCAUGGGCCACUAGGCUCUCUGCAUUCUCUAUUACCCAGUUUAUCUUUUGUUCAUUUAAUGCAUCGCAAACAACAUUGAAUUAGUUUGUUGGACAAUUAGGUAAGAUAUUAAACUAAAGAUGUACAUAUAAAUAUGUCAAGUGAUUAUUUUAAGAAUACAUCUGUAAGGAGUAACCGGAGAAGGCACUUUGUGAAGGUUUUUUUUCCUCCCUGCUUUCUCUAACAGUUCAACAACCCCCAACUUUUAUAAAUAGUACACCUUUUUCUAAAGUGUAGAUAGCAAAAAAGUUUUUCUAUAAUGAAUGCUUAAAAAAUCAUUUCCGAGGAAAUUAGGUCUUAAAAACAUCCUGGAAUAUGUCAGUUAAUUAAAUUGUUGUUUGUUAGAAUGAACAUCCCAAAUCAAACCCACUAUUGCAAAUGCUAGCCCAAGAGUGGUUUCUAGUCUCUGCAAGUCUCUUCCUUCCUCUGCUGUGGCCGCCUAAAGCCCUCCUGCAAUUUCACCACCUCCUUGACUCUCAGCACUAAUCCUGAAUAUUGCUGGGGAGGUUUUCAUGGCUGCAUCUAGAAACUGUGUUUGAUCCUGUUUACUUUGCCUCUCUCUGCUCUAAUGUCACACCUCAGUUCUGGGAAAUGGAUCUCAUUCUGUUCUGAAGUCUUAUUUGCCUGCUCCCGGGCACCCACGUUUGAUGACCAAGCUUCAGUGUGAGCCCUGUUUCUGAGGUCCUCUUUUGUUAUCUGUCAUCACCCUUCUCAUAAAGGGAUACCCUAGUCCUAGAUCCUGGCCCAUUAGUGUGGACCCUCCUCUGUAAUAACAGAUACCUCUUAUUCUAAUUUGCUGUCCUUCCUAUAAGAAUGAAUUGUCUCAUAUUCCAUCCAACUGUUUGGAAAGGCCAACAUUUCAUUUUAACGCUUGCUGAUUUCUACUUACCUGGAGUAUAACCUAUCACUCUGUUGUCCUGGACAUGUUGCUUUGGUCUCUAUUCAUAUCUGUGAUGGUAUCCACUCACCCACAUCCUAUUCAGUGAUUGAGUCCUUUUCCAAAGUCCAGCCCUUUCUCACCUAAGCCAUAUGGCAAUAAGUAACUAGGCUUACCUGGUUUGUUAAUUCUGGAAACACUGAAUGCCUUUUGGAUAUGUGAAACUAUAUGGGCUGCUGGGGAGAUGAACAAGACACAGUUUCGCUCUUGAAUCUCAUCCUGAAUGACAGAGAAAACAAAAAAUUGAAAUACAAUUCUUUAACUGCAGGUUCUAAGAACCUUUUUCACUGAGACAUAGUACCUUAGGUCAGACAAUUGCCCUUCCAUAAACAUUCAUUCUACUAAUGCUUGCUCAAAACCUACUGUGUGCCACCCAGAGGUCUCUUAAUGAGAACUGUGAAUCAGACCCAGACAUUCACUUUGGCCCCGAGUGCCUAGAACUGUUACCUCCCAGAUAUUAAUGAUGUGUGUCUUCUGCUCCUGAGAAGUCAAUAGGAGACUUUAUAAUAGAUAGCCUCUGAACCUGGUUCCUGCUGCUCCAAUCCCCAGGUGAUCUACUUUGAUUGAACCCUGAUGACCAUAGAGGAGUUGUAAAUUCAGUCACUCAUUGUCCAGAACCUCUGACUCAAGUAUCAACCUGUUGCAUUCCAUCCUUCUAGAUUACCUAGAACUGGAUAUCCUGAAAGGAUGAAAGUUUUAUGAGUUGAUUGCAGUGCUUGUUGGAAAGGUAGGAGACCCUGGUGAUAAACCUACCAUAACUUUCAAAAGUCAGCAUUAUCCCCUGAGUGGCAGAGUUGCCUUGACUUUGUGUUUCUGGUGGAAAUGACCACCAAGCCUACUGCCUUCUAAACCAUUGAAGAGAAACUAAGUGGCCCCUGAAACAGCCUGAGUGACUAGUGACUGCCCAAGGACUACUAAAACUUUCUUUACUCUGAGUUGUGAAGGCUUCCUGGGAUCUUUGGCUGGUGGAAUGAUAUCUGGACCUGAUAUGGACAGGGAUUCCUUGGGACAUCCUAGGGAAAUUGAGAUUGCCCUGGUGCCUCUAGCCUUAACUUUAGAACUAAUAGACGUUUUGCCAACCUCUUUUGCCUCUCCCCAAAUUCUAAACCAGCCCUAGCCUAUUGGAGGAUAAGUCUGAAAUAAACCUGAAAAUAACUUCCCUACCCAUCAGUGUUCCUGAAAUUUCAUGAGGAUUCUGAAGAGAAGAGGCAGGGGUUUGCCUAGGGGAAGGUAGAGAAACCAAGGUGAGGAGAAGGCUCAGAGGCUGUGUUGUCAGCAUAGGCACUCCAGAGACCUGCAGCAAAUAGGACUAAAGCACGGGCUCCAGGCACAAGCAGUGAUCUUAAGUGUUAAUUUCAGUCGUGCUUUUGAGAGGGAGAGACAGAAUCCAUCCCUUACCCUCUUUUAACAUCAGUGCACUCAUUCAUAAACAUAUACAUUCUAUCUCACAACAUUCUUCACAUACUCCAAUAAGAAAAAGCAUGUUAAAGUGACAAAAAUAUUUUAGGAAGUUAUGUAAAUAUACUACUAAGGUAGAUUAUAGAUUAUAGUUCUAUCAUUUAUCAUGUUCUCAUGUGUUUAUUUGCUGAGAAGCUUUUAUAAACUUUCAGUUGUUUUUCCUCCCCCCACCCCAUAUUUAUCAGCAUGCAUGUCUUACUAUCUUAUUUAAGUUUCAAAAUAUUAUUUCAAAGUUAAUAAGAUGUUUUGAAAAUCUAGCCACAUCCUUUAUUUGCUCAUAACAUUUUGUCUGGAAAAGUUGUUCUUAAAAAAACUAAAGGUCCUAUUUAUAAAACUGUGAUAUGAUUAAGGCCAAUUGUAAACAAAUGUUUGCAGGCCAACAGAACAAGCAUGUCUUUCAAUACAGAUGACUUUCCCAGUGUGCCAUAAUAGUUUCUUAAAGCUGUUAUGAAUUAUUCCAUAAACCCAUAUUUAGAGACUUUUAAAAAUGCAGAUUAUUGGCCUGAGCAACCAUUUUGUCUCCAAAGGAACAUUUGCAGGCUGUCGUGCAAAUCUGCAUUUGAGCUACUUUCACAUUAUGAUCUUAGUGAAUUCUUGACCAGAUGGACUUGAACAGCUGCCACCCAUGCCUGAACCCAGCUUCUGAACUUUGUGGCAUUAGGUUCUGCUGGUUAUCUAUUGGACUCUGACCUUACCCAUGAUGUCUUAACUGUUGCUCAGCCUUCCCACAUUCUCUCACCUGUACUACAUCUUGCAAGAUUCUACAAAAUUUCUGGUCAAGAAAAUGCAUUUGUUUCCCUUUGCUCAUCCUUUACAUAAUUCUGACUCUAAAACUGAGGAGAUAAAAGAACAAGAUGACACAGGGAGGCAAGGAAACUGGCGAAUGUUGAUUUUAUGUCAUGUGCCAAGAAAGGUGUGAGAUGUUUAUGCCAUUAUUUUACUCAUUCCAACAAAAAAUAUAUGAGAACAAAACCAUGUCCUUAUUUCACAGAGCACCCUGACUAAUAUAUCCACUGAUGGGCUAAUCCCCCAUACUUAUCCUUUAACAAUGGAAAGUGGACUAUCAACUACUGCGGGGAUACUUGUCAAGCUCAGCACUGCCUUGAACCCAACACACAUUUCUGUGGAAUGAAAGAAGAAUCAGGGCUCUCAUAACUACUUUUUUUUCCCCUGUGGCCUAUUUAAGCUUCCCUAGUAAAGGCUGUUUUUAAUGCAUACCAUGGGAAGUUGUGAACUUUGUACCAAACCUUAGUGUAUUACUGGUGAGAACCCAGAAGUGAUCUACCUUGUUGAAACCACUGCUAGCCUGUCAGGACACAGCAAGAAGGCAGCAGCCAUCUGCAAGCCAGGAAGAAUGUCCUCACCAAGAACCCAGUCUGCUGGCAUCUUGAUCUUGGACUUCCCAUCCAGAACUGUUUUUGAAAAAAUUGACAAGUUGAUGUCCCAUGUAACUAGGAUAUUCUUAUCAAAUACUUCCUUUCAUUCAACCAUGUGAUAAUUUUUGGAGAACUCAUUAUGUGCCAGGGGUUAGCAACCGUGCCUAUUCAUAUAGAUAUGCUGCCUUCAAGGAACCUACAGGCUGUCAACAAGGAGGCAAUUUCAGGACACUGUGGGAACUUCUAGGAUCAAGGAAUUCAUUUCCACAAGACUGCAACUGAUACUAUUUGGCCACCAGCAAAAGAACAACCCUACUGGGUGGAAUUUUCCCUCAAGAUAUUUUAGAGGAUGCCUUGCUUUCAAACGCUGGCCAAUGACCUAAUGAGAAAAGAGGAAAGUUUGCUAUUUUUCAAUACAAGAGCCACAGAAGCAUCGGAGCACUGGCCUUAUUUCAGGUUGCUGGAACAGAAUGCCGUGGUCGGAUCUGAUCCCUCUGUCUCCCAGUAAACCCUGGGGCUUCCCUGCAGGGCUUUCCUUGGCAAGGCUGGCUUCCUCCUCUUGGAACGAUUCCUGCCCACUCACUCAAACCUGCUGCCCUUGAUGCUGAGAAGUAAAGCAACACAGAUUAUGUACUUUGUGCUGUUUGAUGUCUGUUGCUGCACCAGCUGCUGAAUGCUGCUCGUCCCUUGUACCCUUGAUCACUAACUAGUCUGAACUACCUUUCUGCUUGGAAGCUUGUUCUGCACUCAAGGAGAACAGCCUAAGUAGGGGGAAAAAAAAAAAAAAAAAGACUUCACCAGAUGUCCCAUAUGCUUCCUUGUAGUAACCUGAGUGUCACAAUACAUCACAUUCCUAGUCGG